AAACAGCAAUAAUGUUCAGCAAAGUAAGAUCUACAAAUAAGUCAACAUGACCAAAAUUGUCAGUUGACCCCUUAAGGAGUUAUUGUUCUUUAUAGUCAUUUUUUUAAAUUUUCAUAAAUUUUUGAAAAUUUUUGUAAUUUUUUAGAAUAUGUUUUCCACUGUAAUUACUGGGCCAAGUUCAUUAUAGAUAGAGUUAAUUGUAGCAAGAAG
rnacentral:lncRNA from 1 species